rnacentral:lncRNA from 1 species
GAAAGUACCAAGCAAAGCCUAUGUAUAGUAAAAGAGUGAUUUCGCCCUAACUUUUUAAAAAAUCAACAUAUUUUAGAUGUGUUUUUUGCAAACUAGAUGUUUUGAGAGAUGCCGAAUCCAUUUGAAACUUCAAAUCGUUGCUAAAAUAUUUGGAAUAUGGACUUUUUGCUGAUUGGUGUACGGUUGCUAAGGGGAGAAUUUUAGUUGCUAGGGAUAAUUAUAUGUCAAUAUUUGCAUUAAAUUAUAACGUUAGAUAUGAAGUAUUAUAAGUAUUUCGAUAUUUCAUUGCUUUUUGGCAAUUUCGAUUUUUUUGUUUUUUUUUGUGAUUUUGAAAAUGAUAUGAGCCAGUCCAUGCGAAAAGGUACAAAAAGUCCUUUUGGUAAACUUUACAGGACACGUUAUCAAAGUUUGUUAUAGUAUUUUUGAAAAACGAUUUUAUCCGAAAAAAAAAAUACAUUAAUGUAAACAUUCAUAAGAUUGUCAAUUCUAUCCCGAAUUUGUCAACUAAAACCGAAAAAGACGUAGAAAUAUCUGAAUUUUUGGUAUUUGAGCAAGUGUAAAAUCAUUUGUUCCCCGGACUAAUGCUAUACCGACCAGAAACUAAAAAA